AGAGAGAGAGAGAGAGAGAGAGAGAUGGUUGAUUCUCUUGUCUACCCAGAAGAUAGAAACCGAGUAUCAAAUUCUUUUCAAUUUCAUUAUGAAGUUUUGUGAAGGAAAAAAUAAAAAAUAAAAGUUGAAAAAUAAGAGAGGGAGAACGGGAACUGUGUGGCUUUUUCUACCUCUUUGGGAAGCAGAGGUGCCUCUUUGUGUAGAGCCUGACCGUUUCUUCCAUUAUGAGCUUUGCAGAACCUUUAGGCACGAGAAGCCUUGAGAGC
rnacentral:misc_RNA from 1 species